rnacentral:lncRNA from 13 species
AGUGCUGUUGUUAAAGGUAUCCAGCAUCAUGGACCCAACCAUCAUCUGGAGUUUCUCACUUCAUCUCUGGAGUUUGGAUC